UUUCCGCUGAGACCCAUCAGACAAACUCUGUUGGGUUUUAAGUUUGAUUCAAUGCAAACUCAGGCUCCUCCUUUCUGCUAUAAAAUGUCUCAUCAGUUUAGAGUCGAGUUCACAGGAUGUUUGUGUCAUCAGGCAUCAUGUUUUCUGCUGCUCUGCUGCUGAUCUUAGCAGCUCAAGGUGUGAAGAGUGAACAGCUGACUCAGCCAGCCUCUGUGAAUGUGCAGCCAGGUCAGCGUCUGACCAUCAGCUGUCAGGUCUCUUAUUCUCUCAGUGACUACUGGACAGCUUGGAUCAGACAGCCUGCAGGAAAAGGCCUGGAAUGGAUCGGGAUGAAAUUUACUGGAAACUCUCACUAUAAAGAGUCGCUGAAGAACAAGUUCAGCAUUGAUUUAGACUCUUCCAGUAAAACAGUGACUCUGAUUGGACAGAACAUGCAGCCUGACGACUCUGCUGUGUAUUACUGUGCCAGAGAGCCACAGUGACACAAACAUCAGAACAGCUGAACAAAAACCCCUCAGAGUCUGAAGGCAGAUGCAAUCCAUCACCAGAAGAGGAGCUCUCAGUCCAUUAAUGAUUCCCAGACCAGUGGACUUUAUUAUAUAAUGGGUUACGCAGCGUUGAAAUCUUCAUUUUAAACCCACACGCUGUAACACACACAACAAAAGAAAUUAAAUUCCCAGAAUAACCAACAACCUUUAAGGGUAAAUUCUUCAAGAAUCCAAGUAUUUUGUUGAUUGUCCUUCCAGCGGUUCAACAGGUUGAGAGAAAUAACUGGAAAACAAAAUAAAUAAAAAACUUUAUAAG